rnacentral:misc_RNA from 1 species
UAGAUUAUGGUUCAUCAAGCUAUACAAGUUUUAUUCUUCAUUAGGUUCACAAACAAUGAGUGACAUUCCAAACACUUUCUGAAUCCAUCCUUGAUUUUAUUGACAAAUCAAUCUCUAAAACUUAAAACAUGGAUAGAAAUUUUAACCAGCUUGACUUAUAACUGCUUGUAUAUCUGUACCUGCAAGGAUAUACAAUUUGCAGCAGUAAAUACAGAAUAAAAGUUCAGAACCUUUGUGGCCAAAUAUUGAAAAUAUAUUCCAUAAAUGCUCAAAUGCCAACAUUAAACUAUUUAUAGCACUAAAACGACCGCCAACUUUGAAGAC